rnacentral:sRNA from 14 species
GGAGGUGGGAACAUGACAUUCGAUUCAAAUAGAAUCAUCCUUUUGGAUGAGCUUGAGCAUGAGAUGGAAGGAAUUAUUUAUGAAUGCAGAAUCUAAAUCAAAUCAACAUUGUUUUGCUUCCUGUUUUUAUGAACAGGGAGUUUU